rnacentral:rRNA from 1 species
UGAAUACGAGAUGCUACGGCGUCGAAGCAGUCUAUGUCAUACUUCCAAGAAAAGCUUGCACUGUCAUAAACAAAUAAUGCCUGUACCAUAACCGACACAGGUGGGUAGGUAGAGUAUACUAAGGGGCGCGAGAUAACUCUCUCUAAGGAACUCGGCAAAAUGACUCCGUAACUUCGGGAGAAGGAGUGCCUUAUUUAUAAGGUUGCAAUAACAAGAUCCAAGCAACUGUUUACCAAAAACACAGGUCUCCGCUAAGUCGUAAGACGAUGUAUGGGGGCUGACGCCUGCCCAGUGCCAGAAGGUUAAAGAAGUUGGUUAGCAUCCGCGAAGCUGAUAACUGAAGCCCUGGUGAACGGCGGCCGUAACGAUAACGGUCCUAAGGUAGCGAAAUUCCUUGUCGGGUAAGUUCCGACCCGCACGAAAGGCGUAAUGAUUUGGAUACUGUCUCGGAGAGGGGCUCGGUGAAGUAGACUUGUCUGUGAAGAUGCGGACUACCUGCACCAGGACAGAAAGACCCUAUGAAGCUUUACUGUAACCUGAAAUUGAAAUUGGACUUUACUUGCGCAGUAUAGGUGGGAGGCGUUGAGAAUAUUCUUGCGGGAUUAUUGGAGCCAUCAGUGAGAUACCACUCUUGUAAUGUUAGAUUUCUAACUCUGUAUCAUUAUCUGGUCAAAGAACAGUUUCAGGCGGGCAGUUUGACUGGGGCGGUCGCCUCCUAAACGGUAACGGAGGCGCACAAAGGUUUCCUCUGAACGGGUAGAAAUCGUAUCUAGAGUGUAAAGGCAUAAGGAAGCUUGACUGUGAGACCUACAAGUCGAGCAGGGACGAAAGUCGGUCUUAGUGAUCUGACGGUGCUGAGUGGAAAGGCCGUCACUCAACGGAUAAAAGUUACUCUAAGGAUAACAGGCUGAUCUCCCCCAAGAGUUCACAUCGACGGGGAGGUUUGGCACCUCGAUGUCGGCUCAUCGCAUCCUGGGGCGGUAGUACGUCCCAAGGGUUGGGCUGUUCGCCCAUGAAAGCGGUACGCGAGCUGGGUUCAGAACGUCGUGAGACAGUUCGGUCCAUAUCCGGUGUAGGCGUUAGAAUAUUGAGAGGAGCCUUCUUUAGUACGAGAGGACCGAGAAGGACAUACCUCUGGUGUACCAGUUAUCGUGCCAACGGUAAACGCUGGGUAGCUAUGUGUGGAGUGGAUAACCGCUGAAAGCACCUAAGUGGGAAGCCCACCUCAAGAUAAGUAUUCUCAUC